GCCUGGGUGGCUCAGUUGGUUGAGUGUCUGACUUCAGCUCAGGUCAUGGCUUGGGGGUUUGAGCCCUGCGUCAGGCU
rnacentral:tRNA from 1 species